AUGAUUCUUCGUUCAUUAUUUCCAAGUGUCAUUCUUUUGUUCAUUGCUAUACCAUCGUUUGGUCUUGCGUUGCCAGUACUAAUAAUGGCAUUAGUUGUCUUAUUCGGAGUUCAAGGAAUAGCCUUUCAUCUUGGGAAUGAGAAUGUCGCGGAUCUCAAUGUUCUCGUCAUGACCAAUGCUCCUAAUGAGGGUGACUUUCCCAUAGACCAACCUCCCGUUGGCGGACUACCAGACCUCCAGCAGGAAAUGGCGCACGCCGCCCAUCCCGAAGCCAUGAUUUCGGAGUUGACUUCCAAGGUUGAAAGAAUAUUUAACGAAGUAGGCACUCCUCUUCCUUUAGAGGAGGGUGAGUCUGCGCGAUCGUUCACUGAAAGUCUUAUAUUGUGGAAUAGUGAGGGAGGAGAUACUCUUCAACAAAUCUUCUCUGAUUAUACGGAAGCCGGAGAUGGAAGCGAAUUCGUCGCAACCGCCACCAAUCUGGCGAAGCGGUUUCGCCGCGCCGAGCUCGGUGAACCAGAUUCUCCCGACCCCGAUGCGCCUGCGGAAGAGCAGGAGGCUCAUUCCACGAGAUCCCCUGAAAGCACAAAAGCAAAUGAUGGGGCGAACGAGGCAGGCCCGUCUUCUUCGAGGAAGCGUAAAAGGUGGGAUGAUGAUUUAGGGUCCGAAGAUGAUGAUUUGGGGGGACCCGGGGAAUCUCCAGAUCCAGUGGAAAUCGUUUACGAAGGGGAUGCACAAGGGUACAACUGGGAGGGGGAUUAG
rnacentral:rRNA from 1 species